rnacentral:rRNA from 1 species
UUUGGGGGGCCUACGGGAGGCAGCAGUAGGGAAUCUUCCGCAAUGGACGAAAGUCUGACGGAGCAACGCCGCGUGAGUGAUGAAGGUUUUCGGAUCGUAAAACUCUGUUGUUAGGGAAGAACAAGUACCGGAGUAACUGCCGGUACCUUGACGGUACCUAACCAGAAAGCCACGGCUAACUACGUGCCAGCAGCCGCGGUAAUACGUAGGUGGCAAGCGUUGUCCGGAAUUAUUGGGCGUAAAGCGCGCGCAGGCGGUUCCUUAAGUCUGAUGUGAAAGCCCCCGGCUCAACCGGGGAGGGUCAUUGGAAACUGGGGAACUUGAGUGCAGAAGAGAAGAGUGGAAUUCCACGUGUAGCGGUGAAAUGCGUAGAGAUGUGGAGGAACACCAGUGGCGAAGGCGACUCUUUGGUCUGUAACUGACGCUGAGGCGCGAAAGCGUGGGGAGCAAACAGGAUUAGAUACCCUGGUAGUCCACGCCGUAAACGAUGAGUGCUAAGUGUUAGAGGGUUUCCGCCCUUUAGUGCUGCAGCAAACGCAUAAGCACUGAUGCG